UACAGAGGGUGCAAGCGUUGUCCGGAGUUAUUGGGCGUAAAGCGCGCGCAGGCGGCCUCGCGCGCCCGACGUGAAAGCCCCCGGCUUAACCGGGGAGGGUCGUUGGGGACGGCGGGGCUUGAGGGCGGGAGAGGUCGGUGGAAUUCCCGGUGUAGUGGUGAAAUGCGUAGAGAUCGGGAGGAACACCUGUGGCGAAGGCGGCCGACUGGGCCGACCCUGACGCUGAGGCGCGAAGGCGUGGGGAGCAAACAGG
rnacentral:rRNA from 1 species